rnacentral:rRNA from 1 species
UACAGAGGGUGCGAACGUUAAUCGGAAUUACUGGGCGUAAAGCGUGCGUAGGCGGCUAUGUAAGACAGAUGUGAAAUCCCCGGGCUCAACCUGGGAACUGCAUUUGUGACUGCAUCGCUGGAGUGCGGCAGAGGGGGAUGGAAUUCCGCGUGUAGCAGUGAAAUGCGUAGAUAUGCGGAGGAACACCGAUGGCGAAGGCAAUCCCCUGGGCCUGCACUGACGCUCAUGCACGAAAGCGUGGGGAGCAAACAGG